UCAGACGGCUGGAUGGCUGCACUCGGGCGGGCGACCGCACGGGUGAGGACAGUCCGGGCUCCACGGAGACACGGUGCCGGAUAACGUCCGGCGGGGGCGACCCCAGGGACAGUGCCACAGAGAACGAACCGCCCGCCUGCGCCCUUCGGGGCUUCGGCGUGGUAAGGGUGAAAAGGUGCGGUAAGAGCGCACCGCGGGUCCGGCAACGGAAACGGCAUGGCAAACCACACCGGGAGCAAAACCGAAUAGGGACGGCAACGCGGGAUGUUCGCUGAAGAGCGAUAACUCCGCAGGGCGAUGUCAGGCUCGCUGUCCGGGUAGGUUGCUCGAGGCCAUGUGCGAACAUGGUCCCAGAGGAAUGGCCGUCACGUAUCGUCCACGCAAGUGGAUGGUGCCCUACAAAACCCGGCUUACAGGCCGGCUGAUAUC
rnacentral:RNase_P_RNA from 1 species